GAGAGAUGCUUGCAGCACCAAAGACUGCUAAUCUUUGCACCCCCGGUUGGAAUCCGAGGAUCACUCG
rnacentral:tRNA from 1 species